AUGGCACAUUAUAUCUCAAAAACGUUUAUGUGUAAAGAGAAAAUGUUAAGGUUCUUCUAUCAAUAAAAAGUGACAUUUGCAAGUGAAAUGUUUUGGUGUAGAAUCGUUAUUUCAUUUUAGACAUUAUUUAUACAACACGAAAUAUAUUUGUAAAUAUAAGACUCUUUACACUUUAUUCUUGACAAAUACUAAGUGUAUCUUUAAAAAUGUCACAACAAAAGGAAAAAGCAAGUCUUAGAAAGGGUCCCGUAUCAUUACCUAGAGAAGCAGGAAAAUAUUAUGUCAGAUUUAUGAGAGCAAUAGUUAAACAUUAUAAUUCAUAUUACUUUAUAAUAAGAAUAUAACUAUGUACAUCGUUUGUGGAAGUGCACUUAUGGACAUCAUUUUCAAAUGACUCUUUAACAUAAUAAAUUUUAUAUUUGAAUCACCCUUACAGAGACCUCGUUAUAUUGGAACACGUGAAGAACGGUUUGAGUUAAAUAAGAAAGGAAUUUUGUUUUUUAUUAUAUUAUUCUUGUGGAUAACAGCUGGCUGCCUCCGAAACCAUAUAUAUAAAAGAUACACUUGGCAGAUUUUAGAUCGGGCACAACUGAUACUCUGUGUUUUUUAUUCGGUAACAUUUCUACAUUUAGUUAUAACAUAUGACGAUCGACCCAUCAACUUUAUAGAGCAUGAUUACAAUUUUACGAAUUUAAUGGUGUGGCUCAUGUAAUAUUUUCAAGAAGUAAAGAUAAGGUAAGAAGGAAUUGUCAUGAAAAAUAAGUAGAAAAAUACUACAUUUAGCAAAAGAGUGUAUUUUCGUUUUCGUAUAUUUUCUUAUAUUUACAACCAAAUACAUUUUUACAAAGCAGACCAAUUAUAAUGAAAACCUGACUAUUUUACAUUUUUACAAAGUAGACCAAUUUAAUGACUGAGUUAUAUCAAAGUUGUUCUAAUAUAAGACGAGGGAAAAAUUCAAUAUCCAAGAGUAUAAAAACAACUCGUAACUUUUUAUCGAUUAGUUAGAUUUUAAUAUUAUGUAAUUUCAGAAUUAUAUUUUAUAUAUAACAAUCUACUGAUUACUGUCAACAAAAAAAAUAAUUAUAACUCUGAAAACACAGAAAAACAAAAUAAUCAAAGAUUAAGACAACUUGCAGAUUAAAAUCGCACCUAUAUAGAUAUAUGUAUAUUGAUCUCUAUAUAUAAAUAUAGGUGUUAUUUUAAUAUAUAGAGAUCUCUAUUUUAUUCAUAUUUAUGUAUACUACAGCAGUCUUACCAACACGAAGCUAUUAGGUAAUCAUUUCCCUAAACGAAUCCAAUUUCAUCACCCACAAACAUAAAGUAGGGUAGAUAUAAAACGGCUAGUUAUUUCAAACGAGUAUUCGCUAAGCUUAUAUGCAGGCCAUCACAACAAUCAUACCUAUUCGUAAGACAGUUUCGAAAAAAACGCACUUACACUUUGUCCUUAUUUUAAUUGAUGCGGUUAAGUCAGGUUUUGGCAAAAUUCAACGAAGACAACGUCGAAACGCUAACGUUAAGAUCUUUACUCGUAGUUGAAACUUUAAAUGAACUUCCGCACUAAUGACAAAUUCUGACAUAAGUUUAUAUUAUGUUUAGACUAUUUUUUUUUCUAUAAACUAUGGCUUCAUUUUUAGACUAAUUUUAUUCAGGAUCUUGAAGUAAUUUAGUAACAAUAAAUUUAAAUUUCCGAAUUAUUCCCCCAAUAUCCAUAUUUUCUAUAGAAGAUGGAAUAAAAAAAAACGAAGCAAAAAAUGUUAGCUUUAAAUGAUAUAAGGUAUUUCAACACCAAUCAUGGAACUCUAUGAGUCAGGGUUUUUUGAGAAAGCCUUAUUUAUUUCUACAGAGUAUUAUAGUUGGCGUAGUUGGCAUGUGAUAAACAUAUUAUAUAUCAUUUCAACACAAGGCAAUUUUCAAAUUAGUUGAUUUAUUGGAUGAAUAAAAUUAAUUACUAAUUAUAUUAAUGCUACUUAUAGGUUAAUCCAAGUUUUCACAGUGCCCUGAUUAAUUUUUCGAAUUCAAUAUUUUAUUUACUAAGAGCAUCGACGAGUUACUUAUGUAAAAAAUAUGGAGAAAAUUGGGUAAACGCUUCACUCAUAUACUUUAAUUACGGUGGGUAGUUUAUGCCAUGUCUUAGUUUGAGUUUUGAUUACAAUUCAUUUUUAUGUAUUAUUUUUUCUUAUAAUUAAUUACCUAGGAAGUGCAUCGAUUUAUUUCACAUGGCCUAUUUAUUUUUCUACGAUAUACGGAGGAAGUUUUUUUGUCCUCUUAUUUUUCGCUUUAAACGCCAUUGUGGACUAUUUCACGUUUGUAUGUUAUUUAGUUAUUAAAUAAAAUACUCAGUUUUUCAAGUCUUUUUAUGUGUUAUUAUUAUUUUUGUCAUUACAGUUGAUCACAUUUCAAUGUCUUGUACAAACUCUCUUAAGCGAAUGGAAAAAACUUAAGCCAUGGUGUGCUGUUUGUAUUAUUCUGCUUGCAGCAGUUGCGGAAUAUUUAACAAGUGACACGAUUUCUAAAUUUAGUUUUAUAUCUUGGACGUGCCUAUCAACACUCUCAGAAACAAUCAUUGUAUUCUGGUUAUAUCCUAUGGGUCGAUUGAUCGAAGACAUAACAUUCCAUUUUGGACUUCCACCAACUAAACUACGAGUAUGGAGCUUUGUGGUUCUUCCAAUAUUUUACUCUUACAUACGAUCUCAAGCGCCAAGAGAAGUCAGUAGCUAUAUAACUGAGAAGAUAGAAAAGACAUCAUAUAAAUUGGAUAUUAUUUACGAGGAGUCGAGACAGGGACUUACUUUUGAAGAUGUUAAAUUAUAUUAAUACCUACUGUUUUAAUUUAUUUGUAUUUAUUUGUAUUAUCUGUAUUAUUAACCAUCCAUCUUAAAAAAAUAUAGAUUUUCAAUCAAUUGUUUUUCCCUAAUUUUGGGUCUGUUUUAAUAUAACUAAUUUAUAUGAAAGUUUCCAAAAGGAACAGAUCUAAGCCGGGACUUGUUAAUAUAACAUGUAAUGUACGUAAUAAUUUCAAGUUUAAUUUGACUCAAUAUGGAAAUUUUAUGACAAUACGUUUUUGGAAACAGUAUUAUUGUAGUAAAACUUAUUGAAUUGAAAAUAAUAGUAUUUUUUUAUGAGAAAGGGGGGCAAACGAGCACAUGGCUUACUUUUUAUUAUUUCAAUUUUAUUAUUUCAAGAAAUGAAAUCAGCCCUUGUUUUGAUUUACUGAAAUUCAUUGACCCAGAAAGAAAAUUUUAAAACUGACUCGGCACUGUAUUAAAAAGUUAAAAAUUAAGGGUAUAAUACGAAUUUUAAGAAACCUAACAAAAACCCAAGCCAGAAAAUUUAAAUUAACUAUUAUGUAAUAAUUUUACCUACGGUUUUUGUGACCUUCCUUUUCAUUGCUAAAAAGGCGAAACCUUAUAUUAAACAUAACGGUUGUAACAUCGACGGAAAACAUAUUAUAAUAAAUAAACAAUAAAGUGUAUAUUCAUUUUUCUUCGAUAAUUUUUAUGAAAGUCUAGGGAUUGCCUUUUUUGUAACCUAGUAUAAAAUAUAAGCAAGGUAAAUUCAUAACAGCGAUUUUCAUUCGCGAAUUAAAUAUAUGUGUCAUUUAAAAUUCCUUUUAAGCUAAAAAAUAA